rnacentral:rRNA from 1 species
CCUACGGGAGGCAGCAGUGAGGGAUAUUGGUCAAUGGAGGAAAGCCUGAACCAGCCACGCCGCGUGAGGGAAGACUGUUUUAGGAUUGUAAACCUCUUUCCUCUAUGGAGAUAAUGACGGUAGGAGAGGAGGAAGCUCCGGCUAACGACGUGCAAGCAGCCGCGGUAAUACGUAGGGAGCGAGCGUUGUCCGGAUUUACUGGGUGUAAAGGGUGCGUAGGCGGGCCUGCAAGUCAGAAGUGAAAGCCAUGGGCUUAACCCGUGAACUGCUUUUGAAACUGCAGGACUUGAGUGGAGUAGAGGUAGGCGGAAUUCCUGGUGUAGCGGUGAAAUGCGUAGAGAUCGGGAGGAACACCAGUGGCGAAGGCGGCCUACUGGGCUUUAACUGACGCUGAAGCACGAAAGUGUGGGUAGCAAACAGGAUUAGAUACCCCAGUAGUC